AAGCAGACGAAAACAAGAAAACAGAGAAGAAUCGAAGAAUCCACAAGGAUCAUGAAUGAAAAGAAUCUAUACCUUAAAAACUUGAAUACGUAGAGAAAAGAGAUAACUGCAAUUGAGAUAACCUUAAACUUUCAGAUUGACCUGAAACUUCAACUUUUUGAUGGAUUUACUUAUACCAAUUUCUACUGAGAUGAAUGUCAAGACAACCUUGUUUCUUAAGUAGAACGUCCCCGUAACGCUUUCUUCAUCGAAGAUCUUGACCUAGAGCUAUUCAAUCGGGAGUUUAUAAUGGGAAAUAGUUCACCAAUAGAAUGGUGGUCCAAUCAAUUUCACCAUCCACAGGUGAAGUCAUCGCUGAAGUCUCUCAAGGAAAAUUUGAUGAUUACGAUACAUGUGUUGUGGAGGCCAGAAAGGCCCAACCGAGGAGAGAUGGUUAGGCAGAUGGGAGUUGCGCUGAGAGAAAAGUUGGAGCCUCUUGGCAAGCUUGUCUCAAUGGAAACUGGUUAUCGCUUGUCUCUCAAUCCCUGUUUGAAAAAUAUUAACUUUCUUUUUUAUUAUUUUUUAGGUAAAAUUUCCCCGAAAGUGUCGAUUAAGUCCAAGAGUAUGUCGACUAUUAGGACUACGCAUUUAGCCUCUCACGAAUGUUUGAGGGCAAAGUGAUUCCAUCAGAGAGACCCAAUCACACCCUGCUGGAAAUGGGAAAUCCUUUGUGAACCAUUAGAAUCAUUUCGGCCUUCAACUUCUAUGUGGCCGUUUAUUACGGUGGAACAACGCCCUUCUUAUAUUCAAUUUGUGGCAAUACAAUGAUCUGGAAAGGCGCCCCGUCGACACCCUUGUGCAGCAUCGCCAUCACCAAGAUUGUGGCCCAGGCGCUGGAAAAGAACAACCUGCCGGGUGCCAUUUGCAGUCUCAUCUGUGGCGGAGCUGAUGUCGGCAGUGCCAUGGCCAACGACCCCCGUCUGGCUCUCAUCUCGUUCACUAGGAGCAUCAAAGUUGGCAAACAGGUGGCCGUGGCCGUCCAGAGCCGAUUCGGCCGCAAUUUGCUCGAACUGGGCGGUAACAACGCCAUUCUUGUCGACGAGAGCGCUUCAAUCGAUCUAGUCAUCCGGGCGUCCAUUUUCCCGUCUGCUAGAACAUCCAGCCAGCGCUGCACCCUCCACCUGUCGUCUCGUCUUGCACGGAAAGGUCUGCGACACCGUCCUGGCCUAUUUGAUCAAAGCUUACGAGCUGCUAUUGCCCAGAAUGGGUGAUCCCCUCCAGUCCGGCCUCCUGCUAGGCCCCCCUUCACAAUCAGCCGGCCGUCGACUCGAUCGCCGCCACCAUUAAGGAAGCGGAGUCCCUCGGCGGCAAAGUCAUGACGGACCGUCCCGCGGCUUCUUCGUCCAGCCGACCAUCAUCACGGGUCUGAAGCCGACGGCGUCUGUGGUCAUGAGCGAAUGUUUCGCUGACAUUCUCUACGUGCUCAAGUGCCAGGAUAUGAACGAGGCUACGGCCAUCAACAACAUCGUCGACCAGGUUCUCUCGUCCAGCAUGUUCACCCAGAACCUCAACCACAUCUUCAAGAACAGACACAGUGGCUGGGACCGAAAGGAUGGGACUGAGGGAUCGUCAACGUCGACAUGGGGACGAGUGGAGCUGAGAUCGGUGAGAUGAACACACAGCAGGUGGCCAUGAAUCGGGAUCAGAUUCAUAGUAUUACUAAACUCUAUUGUCACGUAACGCGUACUAUAAUACAGCUAAUGUUAACAUAUGGUGCCGAUUUGUUUAACUUUUACAAUUCGAAAUGCUUAGCUAAAAAUUGGAUGGUUGAUUUUUUGGAUAUUUGGAGAUUUGGAGAUUCAGUUGAAAGUUUUUCUUCCAAGAAACUAAAACUAGGUGAACUUUUUCCAGUUUCUCUUUAACAUUACUUCAUUACUUCCAACUUCCAGGGUAUGUUUUUUUCUUGUUCGUUCACUAAAGAUUUGUUGGCGUCUGUCUCGAUGAUAGACCUUCCUCCCCCCAACGGACCCGACUCUCUUGAUCUGUUCGCUCGGAUCGAGUUUCAUUAAUGUUGGACUAAGCAGUUGCGUCGUCACUGAGAGCAACGCCGACCCGACAAUCUUCCUGCCUUUCAACUUGUAUCCUGAAUAUCAUCCGCAGCUCAGUUGUUUUAUUCCCGAGCUAUUUAUUACUGCCCUUUUUGGACCCUCGCCAUCAACUGUGAAACUGAUAUAUAGAGUAGGAAUAUUCCAAAAUAAAAAUAAUUUCAUUCUUA